UUCCUUUAACCCCUUUACUUCUUUUUCCAAUUAGGUACACCGUUCCUGAGGAGCUGUGAAGCGUCAAGAACUCUAAGGCUAGGAAAGAUAAACAAGACCUGUUCUUGUUUUUAAAAAGCUAAUAAUAAUACAGUAGAAAAGAGGAAAUUUCCUACAAAUAGGAUGGCCUCGGAACCGUGGAAGUUAAUUAAGGGAAACCUCACUAGAACAGGGCCAGGAUGUUUGGCAAAGAGAGCUCUCAGGCCCUACCACUCAUCGUUAAUUGCAAAUUUGAUGGGAAGCGAGGCACCUUGCACUUGCGAACCUCUUUACCACCCAGAGGAGGAAGAAAGGCUUUGCUCCUCCCCCGGCAACAAGCCAGCCAAUGAGAGAUGGUCGCAACACGGCCAAUGGGAAGCCAUUAUACUUCUAACUCCCAGUUUACUCCAAUGAACUCUGUGUUUACAACAACCUCCCCAAUUCUCGCUUUCGCUGCAAAAGAGCGCCCAUCGCCUUUUCCCCCCAGGGCUUGCCUGGGGUUUUGUCCCAGCUUGUUUGUCCUGGAUUGCAGUUCUCGUCUAUUCCCGAAUAAGCCCAUCUUUUGGUGGUAACAUAACUGGCAGUUUUAUUUUAAAGGUUGACAGAAGUCAGUCUUUUUGUUAAAAGCAACAGAAAAUAGUUUCCGGAGACAGAGUCCCGGGCUCCAGAGGGUCAUCAGGAGACUGGCGAACCGAUAAACCGUCUGGAAUCGAGGUGUCUCCUUUUGAUAGCUGGAGGGAACUCUGGGCUACUCCGUGGCGGCCAGCACGCGCAUCCCGAAGCGCCCUAACUCCGUGGACUUCCAAAGUUGAGCGAGGGGAGACCCCGGGUGCCGGCUGCUCACCGCCAUGCGGUGCUGCUUCCGAAGCAGCUUCACGCGGAUCUGGUCCAUGUUGGUGGCAACUUCCCUCUCGGGCUGAUCCAAGUCCUCUGCGUAUCGCUGCACCAGGGCUUCGGGAAUCCCACAGCGGCCGUGCUGUGAGGGAGAGCAGAAAUGUGGCGUCACGGGUGGCAACGAAUUUCUUCUUUGACAGCAGCAAACACAAGACAAGGUAGACUAAGACACCUACGGCUACUGGGAUGUGUCACCAAAAGUGUUCACUUGAAGUGCAUAGAUUGAGAAUCAUGAUGGGUGUUAGAACAUGUUUACAUCUUGAUCUUUCGGGUACUGAUGAGCUCUGAGGAAAAGGUUUUGAAACCUAAGAACAUAAUUGUCUUGUAUCAGUUGGACCAGUGACCUCACCUCACUGUACUGGAUCAUUUUGCACCACAUGCACCAUUUCCUAAACAACAGGGGAAACGGGCAGACUUGUGCCCUACGGCAGGUAGUCUAGCGUUUGUGGCCCGUCUAUUUUAUACCGCCAAUCCCUAGGCGUGUGCUGUAGACUCAAAUUCUCACUCCUUUCCGUUCUAAGGGAUUUUUAUUCACUAAAUAUCGAGGAGGAGGAGGAAGAUCAUACUGUAAGGCAUUUGUGGUGAAAAGAAGUUUAUAACAAGGCCUCCCAGGGAUGUACUAUAACAAAAUAUGCAUUUCUAGGAAUAAUGUA